GGGGAAUAUUGGACAAUGGGCGCAAGCCUGAUCCAGCCAUGCCGCGUGGGUGAAGAAGGCCUUCGGGUUGUAAAGCCCUUUUGUUGGGAAAGAAAAGCAGCCGGCCAAUACCCGGUUGUUCUGACGGUACCCAAAGAAUAAGCACCGGCUAACUUCGUGCCAGCAGCCGCGGUAAUACGAAGGGUGCAAGCGUUACUCGGAAUUACUGGGCGUAAAGCGUGCGUAGGUGGUGGUUUAAGUCCGUUGUGAAAGCCCUGGGCUCAACCUGGGAACUGCAGUGGAUACUGGGAAGCUAGAGUAUGGGAGAGGAUGGUAGAAUUCCAGGUGUAGCGGUGAAAUGCGUAGAGAUCUGGAGGAAUACCGAUGGCGAAGGCAGCCAUCUGGCCUAAUACUGACGCUGAGGUACGAAAGCAUGGGGAGCAAACA
rnacentral:rRNA from 1 species